GAGGAUAUAGCCCAGUGGUAGAGUGUGUGCUUAGCAUGCAUGAGGUCCUGGGUUCAAUCCCCAGUAUUGCCA
rnacentral:tRNA from 1 species